rnacentral:rRNA from 1 species
ACAGCAGCAGCCGCGGUAAUACAGAGGGUGCGAGCGUUAAUCGGAUUUACUGGGCGUAAAGCGUGCGUAGGCGGCUUCUUAAGUCGGAUGUGAAAUCCCUGAGCUUAACUUAGGAAUUGCAUUCGAUACUGGGAAGCUAGAGUAUGGGAGAGGAUGGUAGAAUUCCAGGUGUAGCGGUGAAAUGCGUAGAGAUCUGGAGGAAUACCGAUGGCGAAGGCAGCCAUCUGGCCUAAUACUGACGCUGAGGUACGAAAGCAUGGGGAGCAAACAGGAUUAGAGACCCGUGUAGUCCCUGUCUCUUAUAA